ACAUGGGUAAGUGAGACUAAGUUUUGAGUAUCUCUCCACCCUUCAGGCUCUCUGUCUGUAUUCCUGAUGAAGGGCUUUUGCCCGAAAUUUCGAUUUUACUGCUCUUCGGAUGCUGCCUGAACUGCUGUGCUUUUUCAGCACCACUCAAAAUAUGCAAUGGCAGUGAGUGAUUUGCCUCAAAUUCCUAAAAUGAUGAUUAGGAAAGUUCAAUUAUGGGGAUAACCUAUUCGAGAAAAACGUAAUUUCCAAGUAAAAUUGCUUAUAAGUUCAUGUGUUGGGGGUGGGGUGUAACAUAGGAGCUGUAAAUUGAAAAGAAAGUAGUUAGUCAAUAAAAAUACUGAGCUAGAAAAACUGGGAAUCUCUAACUUAAGGCUGCAGCUGUGCAGGAGUGACUCUGCUGAAAAAGUAUUAGUAGAUGCUAUUAUAAUGAGCAUGGUCAUUAUGAAAUUCAAGUCUGAAACUGAACUCUGAUGUAUUAACAAGAGUAGUAACUGGCUGGUUAAAAUGUUCUGGCUGUAUACACUGGAAAGUUGUCACCUCACUAUUACAUAGAAAGAUUGUUUUGGUGUAGAAGUAGGUAAUUUGUAAACAAAAAUAAAAUCUAACUUAGGCCUAUUACUUUAAGUACUCCUAUUAACUAUUAGGAAAUGAAAUCUAUUGUACAUGAAAGCAUUAGGUAAUGCAAGUUUAAUAAUAGAGAAUACUGUGAAUCUAAAUGUCCUGUGUGUCAAAACAAAUGCAAAAGCUUUUAUGAUGUGUCUGCCUUAAAGUAAAGUUGACAGUUUUACCAGACCGUGGGGCACGUGAAACUCAUUAGAAACAGACAUCUCUGGUUUGACUUGUGGGCCACCAAUGCCUCAGGUGAUGGGAGAGAUUGAAGACUGUCCUUCACAGUAACCUAAACCUGUGUGGGAUUUGAACCUAUGUUGGCAUCACUCUGCCUUAAGCUAACCAACCACUAAUAUGCUUAGUGAAAAUUUAAAAAAAGUCACUGAGCUUAGUUUUCUUCCAUGAAGAAAAUAUCAUAGUAUGUCAAAGCAACCCUUGAUGUUGUGAUCAUUCUGGUGCCAGAAAUUGUUGCGCAUGUGCAGUUGCCCCAUGCUGCAUCUACUGCCAAGUCAUUCUUCACACCACUGAAAUCUGAGCUGGUGCCAGUUUUGGCUUGUGCACCAGCAUAUAAUGUUGCUCUAUCUCUGCCACACCUGCACCACAUUUUGUCUUCAAUUCAUUUAUGGGAUAUGGUCACCAUUGUCUUUGUGAGCAUUUAUCACCCACCUGAAUUCACUACAUUGUGGAUCUGGAGUCAGGUGAGGAUGGCAGAUGCUUUCCUUUAAGAUGAUGAGUGAACCCUGAUGGGGUUUUUAUGAAACUCAAACUACACGGUCAGUAUUAGAUCACAAUUUUUAAUUUCAGACUUUAUUAUUGAAAGCCAUUUCCUGCAGCUGGGUGAAACAAUCAAUCUUUGGGAUUUGGAACCUAAUUUUUUUUUUCUAGUCAAUAGUCUUGUCGGAUUUGAAGUGGCAGUGGAGCAGAGCAUACCUGUGGUUGAAUGAUGGCAGGAGUACUACCUGAUGAAAGUCUGAGGGACGGCUGAGGGGUGA